rnacentral:rRNA from 1 species
AGGUCAUAGUGAUCCGGUGGUUCUGAAUGGAAGGGCCAUCGCUCAACGGAUAAAAGGUACUCCGGGGAUAACAGGCUGAUACCGCCCAAGAGUUCAUAUCGACGGCGGUGUUUGGCACCUCGAUGUCGGCUCAUCACAUCCUGGGGCUGAAGUAGGUCCCAAGGGUAUGGCUGUUCGCCAUUUAAAGUGGUACGCGAGCUGGGUUUAGAACGUCGUGAGACAGUUCGGUCCCUAUCUGCCGUGGGCGAUGGAGAACUGAGGGGGGCUGCUCCUAGUACGAGAGGACCGGAGUGGACGCAUCACUGGUGUUCGGGUUGUCAUGCCAAUGGCACUGCCCGGUAGCUAAAUGCGGAAGAGAUAAGUGCUGAAAGCAUCUAAGCACGAAACUUGCCCCGAGAUGAGUUCUCCCUGAGACUUUAAGUCUCCUGAAGGAACGUUGAAGACGACGACGUUGAUAGGCCGGGUGUGUAAGCGCAGCGAUGCGUUGAGCUAACCGGUACUAAUGAACCGUGAGGCUUAACCUUACAACGCCGAAG